rnacentral:rRNA from 1 species
CCUACGGGUGGCAGCAGUGAGGAAUAUUGGUCAAUGGGCGCGAGCCUGAACCAGCCAAGUCGCGUGAAGGAUGAAUGCCCUACGGGUUGUAAACUUCUUUUAUAAAGGAAUAAAGUGAGGCACGUGUGACUUUUUGUAUGUACUUUAUGAAUAAGGAUCGGCUAACUCCGUGCCAGCAGCCGCGGUAAUACGGAGGAUCCGAGCGUUAUCCGGAUUUAUUGGGUUUAAAGGGAGCGUAGGUGGGUCGUUAAGUCAGUUGUGAAAGUUUGUGGCUCAACCAGAAAAUUGCAUUUGAUACUGGUCGCCUUGAGUAUAGUUGAGGUAGGCAGAAUUCGUGGUGUAGCGGUGAAAUGCUUAGAUAUCACGAAGAACUCCGAUGGCGAAGGCAGCCUACUAAACUAACACUGACACUGAGGUGCGAAAGUGUGGGGAUCAAACAGGAUUAGAUACCCUAGUAGUC